AAUACAUGCAAGUCGAGCGGACCGACGGGAGCUUGCUCCCUUAGUCAGCGGCGGACGGGUGAGUAACACGUGGGUAACCUGCCUGUAAGACUGGGAUAACUCCGGGAAACCGGGGCUAAUACCGGAUGCUUGAUUGAACCGCAUGGUUCAAUCAUAAAAGGUGGCUUUUAGCUACCACUUGCAGAUGGACCCGCGGCGCAUUAGCUAGUUGGUGAGGUAACGGCUCACCAAGGCGACGAUGCGUAGCCGACCUGAGAGGGUGAUCGGCCACACUGGGACUGAGACACGGCCCAGACUCCUACGGGAGGCAGCAGUAGGGAAUCUUCCGCAAUGGACGAAAGUCUGACGGAGCAACGCCGCGUGAGUGAUGAAGGUUUUCGGAUCGUAAAACUCUGUUGUUAGGGAAGAACAAGUACCGUUCGAAUAGGGCGGUACCUUGACGGUACCUAACCAGAAAGCCACGGCUAACUACGUGCCAGCAGCCGCGGUAAUACGUAGGUGGCAAGCGUUGUCCGGAAUUAUUGGGCGUAAAGCGCGCGCAGGCGGUUUCUUAAGUCUGAUGUGAAAGCCCCCGGCUCAACCGGGGAGGGUCAUUGGAAACUGGGGAACUUGAGUGCAGAAGAGGAGAGUGGAAUUCCACGUGUAGCGGUGAAAUGCGUAGAGAUGUGGAGGAACACCAGUGGCGAAGGCGACUCUCUGGUCU
rnacentral:rRNA from 1 species